UGGGGAAUUUUGGACAAUGGGCGAAAGCCUGAUCCAGCCAUGCCGCGUGAGUGAAGAAGGCCUUCGGGUUGUAAAGCUCUUUCGGUCGGGAAGAAAUAGCUAUAAAAAAUAUUUAUAGUGAAUGACGGUACCGACAUAAGAAGCACCGGCUAACUACGUGCCAGCAGCCGCGGUAAUACGUAGGGUGCAAGCGUUAAUCGGAAUUAUUGGGCGUAAAGGGUGCGCAGGCUGUGCUGUAAGUCAGAUGUGAAAUCCCCGGGCUUAACCUGGGAAUUGCGUUUGAAACUGCAGCGCUAGAGUGUGGUAGAGGAGAGUGGAAUUCCAUGUGUAGCAGUGAAAUGCGUAGAGAUGUGGAAGAACACCAAUGGCGAAGGCAGCUCUCUGGAUUGACACUGACGCU
rnacentral:rRNA from 1 species